UACGUAGGGUGCAAGCGUUGUCCGGAAUCAUUGGGCGUAAAGCGCGUGUAGGCGGUCCGGUAAGUCCGCUGUGAAAGUCGGGGGCUCAACCCUCGGAUGCCGGUGGAUACUGUCGGGCUUGAGUACGGAAGAGGCGAGUGGAAUUCCUGGUGUAGCGGUGAAAUGCGCAGAUAUCAGGAGGAACACCGGUGGCGAAGGCGGGUCUCUGGGCCGAUACUGACGCUGAGGAGCGAAAGCGUGGGGAGCAAACAGG
rnacentral:rRNA from 1 species